rnacentral:tRNA from 1 species
GCGCCCGUAGCUCAGCUGGAUAGAGCGCUGCCCUCCGGAGGCAGAGAUCUCAGGUUCGAAUCCUGUCGGGCGUACCA